AAGUGACGAGUCCUGGAGUGGUGGCCGUAGCCAAGGGUUCUCCAUCCGGACAAGCAUCACCGAAAGUCCCCAAGCAUACACUCGUGACUCCAACCAAGAACCCCCGAUAUAAAUUCUUCACGUCGAAGAACGCGCGUGCCGAUGAAACCCCAGGGGCGUCGAAACAAACAACGGUUUUACCGGGACAGCCCUUCACUGACAAAGCUGAGCCUGCCCCCGAAGCUUCGCCGAGUGGACGAGUCUCAACUUCCCGGACGAGCGAGCGCAGUAAAACGCCCUUCUGGGUGCAGAGUCGUGCAGCCACCUCCGACCAGGAGAAAUCGGCAGAAAAGCCUGAUGAAGCAACGGCCGACGAGCCCCCACCACCACCUACGAGAAGAAGUGAGCGACCUCGCAAACUCUCGGUACCCUCUUACAAAGAGCCCAAUGUUAACAGGAAAAUGCGACGCCAGUGAUUGGCAGGACAGCACCUUCCAGAGUCCAGACGAUCAGCUUGUGUGACAACACACAAUCUGUAGAUCAAUUUUAGUUUAAAAUAUUUUAUAGUUACUCCAACAGAGCGACUCCAUUAUAGUCUGUUGCAGGUUAAAAAAAGCAGCACCUGCUCCUCCCCCGAAGCUCUCCACUCUUUCCACUUCAGCAGCGCACACGCUGGCGAGGAGUCCAUUCUCGCCUCCUCUCUGCAGCGUUCGCUUUGUUAAAAUGAAGUGGAGGGCAUUGCGGGUGGAGCUUGUUCGGCCUUCCUAACCUGCGACAGGCUAUAGUGCAGUAGCUCUAUUGGAGUUAGUUUUAACUGUUUUAUCUGACUGCAUUCAAUAAAAUCGUACAGGGAAAACCUCCACAGGGGCUCUAACCUCUAACAGAGUGCUUCGUAAAAGAGUGCACAUACUCUUGCCUCAUGCGCAAGGCAGC